rnacentral:rRNA from 1 species
ACGUAGGGUGCAAGCGUUGUCCGGAUUUACUGGGCGUAAAGAGCGCGUAGGCGGCUCGUUAAGUGAGAAGUGAAAGCUGUGGGCUCAACCCACAAACCGCUUUUCAUACUGGCGAGCUGGAGUGAUGCAGAGGUGGAUAGAAUUCCUGGUGUAGCGGUGAAAUGCGUAGAUAUCAAGAGGAACACCUGCGGCGAAGGCGGGUUGCUGGGCCGACACUGACGCUGAGGCGCGAAAGCUAGGGGAGCGAACGGGA